CAGACCUACGUAGCUAAAGCAAGACUGCUUAUACACGCCUAGUUUGAGUGAAUACCAUUACAAGACCCUGGACUGAAACAAGUUGAGUUAUGCUGAUAUGUUGAAGAGAGUUGAUCCGUUACGUAAAGAAUUGAAAGAUUUGGAAACCAAAGCUGAGGACACUCAUCAAAAAGGAGAAGAAAUAACAAAAAUAAUAGCAGAACUUGAAGCCUCUAUAGCAAAAUAUAAAGAAGAUUACGCAAUGCUCAUUUCUGAUGCUAAUGUUAUUAAAAAUGAUUUAUCAACUGUUGAGAAAA